rnacentral:rRNA from 1 species
UACGUAGGGUGCAAGCGUUAAUCGGAAUUACUGGGCGUAAAGCGUGCGCAGGCGGUUUUGUAAGUCUGACGUGAAAUCCCCGGGCUUAACCUGGAAAUUGCGUUGGAGACUGCAAGGCUGGAGUCUGGCAGAGGGGGGGUAGAAUUCCACGUGUAGCAGUGAAAUGCGUAGAGAUGUGGAGGAACACCGAUGGCGAAGGCAGCCCCCUGGGUCAAGACUGACGCUCAUGCACGAAAGCGUGGGGAGCAAACGAGG